UGUCCCAAUACAAUUUGGUUAUGAUAUAGACUAAGUGUUUAGGCUUAGAUUGGCGAAUCCUACCCCUUAUAUAUUUUUAUAGCACUGAGAAGAUCAAGGCUACCAUCGUAAGAGAUCCAGGUGCCCUUUCUCAUAAAUAUAUGAGUACGUGCGUCUUUCAUCCGGAUGCCUAUUUUGAUCAUUUUGAUUAUAAUGUAUCAAAUGUACUUUUGCAUUAGACAAACAGCUG
rnacentral:misc_RNA from 1 species